rnacentral:lncRNA from 1 species
UUUGAACUUUGUUAUAUCACUUCUAUAAGACAGGAAUGAAGUUCCUCUUCCCUUUGCUUCAAAAAGAAAGGAAGAUUAUUCAUCUCUUAGGUUGCACAUAAGAAAAUACUGAAGAGUAGAGAAGACAAGACUCAAAUACUUCCUCAUAAAUCCAGUCCAUUCCACAGGAAAGCUGUUCUGAGCAAUGCUGGCCUGUGGUACAAAACUGGGGAAGGCCGUUCUGACUCAGCAGCACCCAUGACCAUCAAGAAUAUAACCUCCCUUUUCCACCUCCCAAACACAGGUAAAUACAGACAGUAACCUUCCCA